rnacentral:rRNA from 1 species
CCUACGGGUGGCAGCAGUGGGGAAUAUUGGACAAUGGGGGGAACCCUGAUCCAGCCAUGCCGCGUGUGUGAAGAAGGCCCUCGGGUUGUAAAGCACUUUCAGUGAGGAAGAACGCCUGGUGGUUAAUACCCAUCAGGAAAGACAUCACUCACAGAAGAAGCACCGGCUAACUCCGUGCCAGCAGCCGCGGUAAUACGGAGGGUGCGAGCGUUAAUCGGAAUUACUGGGCGUAAAGCGCGCGUAGGUGGCUUGAUAAGCCGGUUGUGAAAGCCCCGGGCUCAACCUGGGAACGGCAUCCGGAACUGUCAAGCUAGAGUGCAGGAGAGGAAGGUAGAAUUCCCGGUGUAGCGGUGAAAUGCUUAGAGAUCGGGAGGAAUACCAGUGGCGAAGGCGGCCUUCUGGACUGACACUGACACUGAGGUGCGAAAGCGUGGGUAGCAAACAGGAUUAGAUACCCCAGUAGUC